rnacentral:rRNA from 1 species
GACGAACGCUGGCGGCGUGCCUAAUACAUGCAAGUAGGACGCAGUUGCGAACGGGUGAGUAACGCGUAGGUAACUGCCCAUUAGAGGGGGAUAACUAUUGGAAACGAUAGCUAAUACCGCAUACUAGUAGCUGGACCUGCGUUGUAUUAGGUAGGAGGUAGGGUAAUGGGCUACCUAGGCAACGAUACAUAGCCGGCCGUGGAGGGUGACCGGCCACACGUGGACUGAGACACGGCCCAGACUCCUACGGGAGGCAGCAGGAGGGAAUCUUCGGCAAUGGGGGGAACCCUUACCGAGCAACGCCGCGGUGGUGAAGAAGGUUUUCGGAUCGUAAAGCUCUGUUGUUCAGGAAGCGUUACUUAACCAGAAAGGGACGGCUAACUACGUGCCAGCAGCCGCGGUAAUAC